UAAAAACUUAGGAUNAAAUAAACCAAAAGCCUUCAAAGCUUGAAAUAAGGGUGUAACCCCCCUAGUUUU
rnacentral:tRNA from 1 species